AACUAAUGGGAUGUUUUAGUUUUGCCAUUUCUGCCACUGAAACGUCUUUCUCUUCUUAUUCUUCUGCAUCUUCUUGUGAUUCCACCUCAAUCAGGUGGAUUGAAGAAGAAGGGGUUUUAUAGUAUGUACCUUUGGAGGAGUUCCUCCUUUGCUGUUCUUCCCUGAGUAACUCCUCAUAUUUGGAUGCCUUAUCAGCCAGUUCUGCCAGAUGUCCGAACAACAUCC
rnacentral:lncRNA from 1 species